rnacentral:lncRNA from 1 species
GUGAACCUCCUAAGAAGUUUUACUAUCCACCUUCAUCCAUUCAUCAUUCAUUAUGUCCUAGACUUUUCACACUUUAUCUUUCAAACUUGACAUAAAUGUUGUGCAAACAUCUUCAUGUUUUUCUAACUAAAAACCUGGACUCAAGUCCUUGACUUUUUUCAAACUCAUUUCAUAAUACUUCUUUCGAAUCAAUCUUAAUCAUACU